rnacentral:rRNA from 1 species
GACGAACGCUGGCGGCGUGCCUAAUACAUGCAAGUAGAACGCUGAAGGAGGAGCUUGCUCUUCUGGAUGAGUUGCGAACGGGUGAGUAACGCGUAGGUAACCUGCCUGGUAGCGGGGGAUAACUAUUGGAAACGAUAGCUAAUACCGCAUAACAGUAGAUGUUGCAUGACAUUUGCUUAAAAGGUGCAAUUGCACCACUACCAGAUGGACCUGCGUUGUAUUAGCUAGUUGGUGGGGUAACGGCUCACCAAGGCGACGAUACAUAGCCGACCUGAGAGGGGGAUCGCCCACCCGGGGACUGAGACACGGCCCAGCCCCCUACGGGAGGCAGCAGUAGGGAAUUUUGGGAAAGGGCGGGAAGUCUGACCGGGCAACGCCGCGUGGGUAAAGAAGGUUUUCGGAUCGUAAAGCUUUUUUGUAAGAAAAAAACGAGUGGGAGGGUGAAAAGUUCAAACUGUGACGGUAUCUUACCAGAAAGGGCCGGCUAACUACG